rnacentral:rRNA from 1 species
GCUUAACACAUGCAAGUCGAGGGGCAUCAGGAAGAUAGCUUGCUUUCUUUGCUGGCGACCGGCGCACGGGUGAGUAACACGUAUCCAACCUGCCCUUUACUCGGGGAUAGCCUUUCGAAAGAAAGAUUAAUACCCGAUAGCAUAAUGAUUCCGCAUGGUUUCAUUAUUAAAGGAUUCCGGUAAAGGAUGGGGAUGCGUUCCAUUAGGUUGUUGGUGGGGUAACGGCCCACCAAGCCUUCGAUGGAUAGGGGUUCUGAGAGGAAGGUCCCCCACAUUGGAACUGAGACACGGUCCAAACUCCUACGGGAGGCAGCAGUGAGGAAUAUUGGUCAAUGGGCGCUAGCCUGAACCAGCCAAGUAGCGUGAAGGAUGAAGGCUCUAUGGGUCGUAAACUUCUUUUAUAUAAGAAUAAAGUGCAGUAUGUAUACUGUUUUGUAUGUAUUAUAUGAAUAAGGAUCGGCUAACUCCGUGCCAGCAGCCGCGGUAAUACGGGGGAUCCGAGCGUUAUCCGGAUUUAUUGGGUUUAAAGGGAGCGUAGGUGGACUGGUAAGUCAGUUGUGAAAGUUUGCGGCUCAACCGUAAAAUUGCAGUUGAUACUGUCAGUCUUGAGUACAGUAGAGGUGGGCGGAAUUCGUGGUGCAGCGGUGAAAUGCUUAGAUAUCACGAAGAACUCCGAUUGCGAAGGCAGCUCACUGGACUGCAACUGACACUGAUGCUCGAAAGUGUGGGUAUCAAACAGGAUUAGAUACCCUGGUAGUCCACACAGUAAACGAUGAAUACUCGCUGUUUGCGAUAUACAGUAAGCGGCCAAGCGAAAGCAUUAAGUAUUCCACCUGGGGAGUACGCCGGCAACGGUGAAACUCAAAGGAAUUGACGGGGGCCCGCACAAGCGGAGGAACAUGCGGUUUAAUUCGAUGAUACGCGAGGAACCUUACCCGGGCUUAAAUUGCAGUGGAAUGAUGUGGAAACAUGUCAGUGAGCAAUCACCGCUGUGAAGGUGCUGCAUGGUUGUCGUCAGCUCGUGCCGUGAGGUGUCGGCUUAAGUGCCAUAACGAGCGCAACCCUUAUCUUUAGUUACUAACAGGUCAUGCUGAGGACUCUAGAGAGACUGCCGUCGUAAGAUGUGAGGAAGGUGGGGAUGACGUCAAAUCAGCACGGCCCUUACGUCCGGGGCUACACACGCGUUACAAUGGGGGGUACAGAAGGCAGCUAGCGGGUGACCGUAUGCUAAUCCCAAAAGCCUCUCUCAGUUCGGAUCGAAGUCUGCAACCCGACUUCGUGAAGCUGGAUUCGCUAGUAAUCGCGCAUCAGCCACGGCGCGGUGAAUACGUUCCCGGGCCUUGUACACACCGCCCGUCAAGCCAUGGGAGCCGGGGGUACCUGAAGUACGUAACCGCAAGGAUCGUCCUAGGGUAAAACUGGUGACUGGGGCUA